CACCCACCAAGGCUCCGGAUGUGUUCCCCAUCAUAUCAGGGUGCAGACACCCAAAGGAUAACAGCCCUGUGGUCCUGGCAUGCUUGAUAACUGGGUACCACCCAACGUCCGUGACUGUCACCUGGUACAUGGGGACACAGAGCCAGCCCCAGAGAACCUUCCCUGAGAUACAAAGACGGGACAGCUACUACAUGACAAGCAGCCAGCUCUCCACCCCCCUCCAGCAGUGGCGCCAAGGCGAGUACAAAUGCGUGGUCCAGCACACCGCCAGCAAGAGUAAGAAGGAGAUCUUCCGCUGGCCAGAGUCUCCAAAGGCACAGGCCUCCUCAGUGCCCACUGCACAACCCCAAGCAGAGGGCAGCCUCGCCAAGGCAACCACAGCCCCAGCCACCACCCGUAACACAGGAAGAGGAGGAGAAGAGAAGAAGAAGGAGAAGGAGAAAGAGGAACAAGAAGAGAGAGAGACAAAGACACCAGAGUGUCCGAGCCACACCCAGCCUCUUGGCGUCUACCUGCUAACCCCUGCAGUGCAGGACCUGUGGCUCCGGGACAAAGCCACCUUCACCUGCUUCGUGGUGGGCAGUGACCUGAAGGAUGCUCACCUGACCUGGGAGGUGGCUGGGAAGGUCCCCACAGGGGGCGUGGAGGAAGGGCUGCUGGAGCGGCACAGCAACGGCUCCCAGAGCCAGCACAGCCGUCUGACCCUGCCCAGGUCCUUGUGGAACGCGGGGACCUCCGUCACCUGCACACUGAACCAUCCCAGCCUCCCACCCCAGAGGUUGAUGGCGCUGAGAGAACCCGCUGCGCAGGCACCCGUCAAGCUUUCCCUGAACCUGCUGGCCUCGUCUGACCCUCCCGAGGCGGCCUCGUGGCUCCUGUGUGAGGUGUCUGGCUUCUCGCCCCCCAACAUCCUCCUGAUGUGGCUGGAGGACCAGCGUGAGGUGAACACUUCUGGGUUUGCCCCCGCACGCCCCCCUCCACAGCCCAGGAGCACCACGUUCUGGGCCUGGAGUGUGCUGCGUGUCCCAGCCCCGCCCAGCCCUCAGCCAGCCACCUACACGUGUGUGGUCAGCCACGAGGACUCCCGGACUCUGCUCAACGCCAGCCGGAGCCUAGAAGUCAGCUAUGUAACAGACCAUGGCCCCAUGAAAUGA